UACAGAGGUCUCAAGCGUUGUUCGGAUUCAUUGGGCGUAAAGGGUGCGUAGGUGGCAGGGUAAGUCGGAUGUGAAAUCCCGGGGCUCAACCUCGGAACUGCAUUCGAUACUGCUUUGCUGGAGUACUGGAGAGGAGAUUGGAAUUUACGGUGUAGCAGUGAAAUGCGUAGAAUAUCGUAAGGAAGACCAGUGGCGAAGGCGAAUCUCUGGACAGUUACUGACACUGAGGCACGAAGGCCAGGGGAGCAAACGGG
rnacentral:rRNA from 1 species